rfam:Operophtera brumata OBRT01_Sc03314, whole genome shotgun sequence.
CGUUCCAUAGCCAAACUGGUCAAGGCAUCGCUGAUUAGAGGUGAAGAUGCGGGUUCGAGUCCCGCUGGAACGG